UACGUAGGUGGCAAGCGUUGUCCGGAAUCACUGGGCGUAAAGCGCGCGCAGGCGGCGAUCUACGUCUGGGGUGAAAGCCCGGGGCUCAACUCCGGAAUUGCCUUUAAGACUGCAUCGCUAGAAUUGUGGAGAGGUAAGUGGAAUUCCGAGUGUAGAGGUGAAAUUCGUAGAUAUUCGGAAGAACACCAGUGGCGAAGGACGACUUACUGGACACAUAUUGACGCUGAGGUGCGAAAGCGUGGGGAGCAAACAGG
rnacentral:rRNA from 1 species